CCCAUACUAACGCUUUGUAAUGCUGCGAACGAGAUGGGAAUGAAACUUGACGAAACUUGACGAUCUGUCAUAAAUCUGUGUUGUCAAAUAAAAACAGCUGAUUUUGUUUUCGGUUGGUCGCAGUCGUCUUAGUAAAAUAAAAAAAGGCGGUUUGGUGCGCAAAUUUUGAAAAAGAUUUAACCCGAGCCAUGCAAUGUUGGAGCUGGAAGACCUUUUGGCUAGAGGGCAGGCGGCUCCAAGAAGGAUUCGAUCGAUGUUCGUGCUUUUCCGGCAAGAAGAAAGAUUCAAACGUAACCGGAAAGGCAAAGGCUGUCAGCUUCUGGCCGUGAUGAGCAGCUCCAGAGUGAACAAUAAUACCAUGAUGAUCGCGCCCGCACUGUCGCCCAGAUCGCUGGCGAGAAAUAACCAGGUGGUGCGGGAACGACAUGCGUUCACUACUUUUGCGAUGAAGCAACGUUCGGGUUGGACUUGUUUACGAUGCUGAAGGGAAUAGGAAUGAGAAGGGACUCAUGCAGUGAAGGAGAUCCUGUGCAACGCUCCAUAAUACCAGGUUAUAGUGACGUUCCGAAGUAAGUUGAAGGUGGUCAAUGGAAACGUCGAACGAAUCGGCGAGUUCCAGGGGAAUAAUUCGAAGUCCAUUGGAGGUGGGGUGGCCUGCCCGUUGCUGAGGAAAAGGACGGCAGCUAAAGAAAGAAGAUGAAAUCAUGGCGAUGAAAACGGAAAAGUAGGCCUUGAGAACGGAUCAAGUUGGUGGGUCAGUCAAAAAUAAAACUUUUUUUUGCCAAUUU